rnacentral:lncRNA from 1 species
GGUCCCUAGACCGCACCUUCUGGUAUCUUCUAAGGCAAUUCUGGUACCGCACUGUGUCUGGGUUGGCCUAUUUAAAUGUCUGAGCCAGCUGUUCCAGGAUUUCAAUGAGUUUCUCCUCUUCGGCCGGUGAGGAGGACGCUGUAGCGAGAGGCAAGUGUGUAGAAACUGGCUUCCGAUCUAAAAGUGAGAGGGAACCGCAGAGAGGUGUGAGCUGCUGCAGCGUGGCUGGGUCCAUGUCCCUGUGCUGCUCAGGCCUUGAACCGACGCCUGCUGGAGUGGCAGCACCCUACAGCUGUUAGACCCCCAUCCCUGCUGUCAAAGGUCCCACAGGGAUCAGGCAGCAUGGAUUGAUAUGUAAAGUGCAGUUUGGGAACUGGGAGGCUGCAGCCAGGGCUGGACGGGAGACCACGGGUCACCAGCGCUUCAGAAUUCCUCAAGCAAGGGUGGUUCUCAUCAAGAACAGAGGAAAGAGAAGCCAAGCAAAGAGCCUGGCUUCCACCCGAGGUCAAGUGCUGUCUUCGGAUGGCGUCCACUCACACGCCUGCCCCCUUAGGAGCCCACU